CAUUUGACUCCUAGAAAUGAAGUCCUUCUCUCAGCUCCUGUGGCUGUUAAUGCUCUGGAUCCCUGGAUCUAAUGGAGAUGUUGUGCUGACCCAGACUCCACUCUCCCUGCCUGUCACCCUGGGAGAGCCGGCCUCCAUCUCCUGCAGGUCUAGUCAGAGCCUCCUGCAUAGUAAUGGAAACACAUAUUUGGAAUGGUACCUGCAGAAGCCAGGACAAUCUCCACAACCUCUGAUCUAUUUGGUUUCCAACCGAGCAUCUGGGGUCCCAGACAGGUUCCGUGGCAGUGGGUCAGGCACAGAUUUCACACUGACCAUCAGCAGGGUGGAGGCUGAGGAUGUUGGGGUUUAUUACUGUUAUCAAGGUACACAUGCUCCUCCCACAGUGAUACAGCCCCGAACAAAAACCUCCUUUCUGGCAAAUGGCUCAUGCAUUGCUGAUCUGGGAGCAGCAGAGCAUUGUCUGAGUCUACCAGGAAAAAAUGAUUUUGUUGUUAAUGUGAGAGCAAAUCUGUGUUGAGAUAAAGAGAAUUUGACAACCUGACUACAUACAAUCAACAAAGACCCGGAGAACAAACAUGGGUGUACAAAGACCA